rnacentral:rRNA from 1 species
GAUGAACGCUGGCGGCGUGCCUAAUACAUGCAAGUCGAGCGAACAGACGAGGAGCUUGCUCCUCUGACGUUAGCGGCGGAUGGGUGAGUAACACGUGGAUAACCUACCUAUAAGACUGGGAUAACUUCGGGAAACCGGAGCUAAUACCGGAUAAUAUAUUGAACCGCAUGGUUCAAUAGUGAAAGACGGUUUUGCUGUCACUUAUAGAUGGAUCCGCGCCGCAUUAGCUAGUUGGUAAGGUAACGGCUUACCAAGGCAACGAUGCGUAGCCGACCUGAGAGGGUGAUCGGCCACACUGGAACUGAGACACGGUCCAGACUCCUACGGGAGGCAGCAGUAGGGAAUCUUCCGCAAUGGGCGAAAGCCUGACGGAGCAACGCCGCGUGAGUGAUGAAGGUCCUCGGAUCGUAAAACUCUGUUAUUAGGGAAGAACAAAUGUGUAAGUAACUAUGCACGUCUUGACGGUACCUAAUCAGAAAGCCACGGCUAACUACGUG